GAUGAACGCUGGCGGCGUGCCUAAUACAUGCAAGUCGAGCGAACAGACGAGGAGCUUGCUCCUCUGACGUUAGCGGCGGACGGGUGAGUAACACGUGGAUAACCUACCUAUAAGACUGGGAUAACUUCGGGAAACCGGAGCUAAUACCGGAUAAUAUAUUGAACCGCAUGGUUCAAUAGUGAAAGACGGUUUUGCUGUCACUUAUAGAUGGAUCCGCGCCGCAUUAGCUAGUUGGUAAGGUAACGGCUUACCAAGGCAACGAUGCGUAGCCGACCUGAGAGGGUGAUCGGCCACACUGGAACUGAGACACGGUCCAGACUCCUACGGGAGGCAGCAGUAGGGAAUCUUCCGCAAUGGGCGAAAGCCUGACGGAGCAACGCCGCGUGAGUGAUGAAGGUCUUCGGAUCGUAAAACUCUGUUAUUAGGGAGGAACAAAUGUGUAAGUAACUAUGCACGUCUUGACGGUACCUAAUCAGAAAGCCACGGCUAGCUACGUG
rnacentral:rRNA from 1 species